UACGUAGGGUGCAAGCGUUAAUCGGAAUUACUGGGCGUAAAGCGUGCGCAGGCGGUUGUGCAAGUCCGAUGUGAAAUCCCCGGGCUUAACCUGGGAAUGGCAUUGGUGACUGCACGGCUAGAGUGUGUCAGAGGGGGGUAGAAUUCCACGUGUAGCAGUGAAAUGCGUAGAGAUGUGGAGGAAUACCGAUGGCGAAGGCAGCCCCCUGGGAUAACACUGACGCUCAUGCGCGAAAGCGUGGGGAGCAAACAGG
rnacentral:rRNA from 1 species